rnacentral:tRNA from 1 species
GGAGGGGUGGCCGAGCGGUUGAAGGCGCACGAUUGGAAAUCGUGUAUACGUUAAUAGCGUAUCGUGGGUUCGAAUCCCAUCCCCUCCG